UUUCGUCAAAAACUCUGGUUUUAGUGAACAACAUUCGUGCAUUUAGGGGCAUCGUCACUUCCAUUCCAAUGUUGAGCGAGUGGUUGGAAAAUAUAAAUACUAUAUUGCACGAUUUAUUCGGCAAACUAAAUUCUCAUAAAUGACAAUCAGCACUGCUGUCAUUAGGGAAUUGUUAUUAAGUACUUACAAAACAAAAAUUAUUUCUAGUUUAUCCUGCACAAUGACGAUCACUAAGACGCUCAAUGAACG
rnacentral:lncRNA from 1 species